AGCUAACGCGAUAAAUAGACCGCCUGGGGAGUACGGCCGCAAGGUUAAAACUCAAAUGAAUUGACGGGGGCCCGCACAAGCGGUGGAGCAUGUGGUUUAAUUCGAAGCAACGCGAAGAACCUUACCUACUCUUGAAAUCCAGUGAACUGAGCAGAGAUGCUUAGGUGCCUUCGGGAACACUGAGACAGGUGCUGCAUGGCUGUCGUCAGCUCGUGUUGUGAAAUGUUGGGUUAAGUCCCGUAACGAGCGCAACCCUUAUCCUUAGUUGCCAGCGAGUAAUGUCGGGGACUCUAAGGAGACUGCCGGUGAUAAGCCGGAGGAAGGCGGGGAUGACGUCAAGUCAGCAUGGCCCUUACGAGUAGGGCUACACACGUGCUACAAUGGCCGGUACAGACGGUUGCGAAGCCGCGAGGUGGAGCUAAUCUGAGAAAGCCGGUCGUAGUCCGGAUUGGAGUCUGCAACUCGACUCCAUGAAGUCGGAAUCGCUAGUAAUCGUGAAUCAGAAUGUCACGGUGAAUACGUUCCCGGGCCUUGUACACACCGCCCGUCACACCAUGGGAGUUGAUUGCACCAGAAGUGGGUAGCUUAAAAUUGGGCGCUCACCACGGUGUGGUCAAUGACUGGGGUGAAGUCGUAACAAGGUAACCAAGGGCGAA
rnacentral:rRNA from 1 species